GUUCCUGUAGCGCAGUGGAUAGCGCGUUGGACUUAUAAUCCAAAGGUUUUGGGUUUAAUCCCACCUGAAAUG